ACCUGGCUGGCUCAGUGGGUAGAGCAUGAGACUCUUGAUCUUGGGGGUGUGAGUUCAAGCCCUACACUGGGCC
rnacentral:tRNA from 1 species